rnacentral:tRNA from 1 species
UGAACAUUAGUUUAAACAAAACAGCUAAUUUCGACUUAGCAAAUUCGGAAAUUCUCCGAAUGUUCAU